ensembl:rRNA 5S_rRNA 5S ribosomal RNA
AUCUACAGCCAUACCAUCCUGAACAUCCCUAUCUCAUCUGAUCUCAAAAGCUAAGCAGGGUCAAGCCUGGUUAAUACUUAGAUGGGAGACCUCCCUGGAAUACUAAGUGCCGUAGGCU